UGCAUUUUGCCUUCACUAUCAAUAUAUGUUAGAGCAGUUCGCUUGUCUGUUGGGUUGAAAGGGAGGAAAUGAAUUUCUUGAAUGGCAGCUCGUGCCUCUCUUGGAUCAGCCAACAUUCCCACUAUUGCAGCAUCUAUUGCAUCCUGGUUCUCCACUCGAGAGGCUCUAGCAGCCAUCAGAACCACCGUAUCGGCAUCAACUCCUUUAGCAAAGAUCUCAAUCAAAUUCUUAUCAACUGUAAGUUUAUUCAAGGUCAGAGUUCCAGUUUUGUCACUGCAAAGAACAUCCAUGCCUGCCAUUUCUUCUAUUGCUGUCAUUCGUUUUGUUAUAGCUCCCUGCUGAGAUAAACGAUGGGACCCUAUCGCCAUUGUCACAGAUAAAACUGUGGGCAUUGCAAUAGGAAUUCCUCCAAUGAGAAGUACUAGUAAAUUGUCAAUUCCUGGACGGUAUUUGCGGUGUUGAAUUGGGUACAUAACAAUUAUUUCUAUUAUCAUCCCCACAGCUAUGGAGCAUAUACAGAAAUUCCCAAUAGCAGUCAAUACC
rnacentral:misc_RNA from 1 species